CAGCCGCCGCGGUAAAACCAGCACCUCGAGUGGUCAGGAGGUUUAUUGGGCCUAAAGCAUCCGUAGCCGGUUGCAUAAGUUUUCGGUUAAAUCUAUGCGCUUAACGUAUAGGCCGCCGAAAAUACUGUGCAGCUAGGGAGUGGGAGAGGUACACGGUACUCGAUAGGAAGGGGUAAAAUCCUUUGAUCUAUUGAUGACCACCUGUGGCGAAGGCGGUGUACCAGAACACGUUCGACGGUGAGGGAUGAAAGCUGGGGGAGCAAACCGGAUUAGAUACCCGGGUAGUCCCAGCUGUAAACGAUGCAGACUCGGUGAUGCAUUGGCUUGUGGCCAAUGCAGUGCCGCAGGGAAGCCGUUAAGUCUGCCGCCUGGGAAGUACGUACGCCAGUAUGAAACUUAAAGGAAUUGGCGGGGGAGCAC
rnacentral:rRNA from 2 species